UACGGAGGGUGCAAGCGUUGCUCGGAAUUAUUGGGCGUAAAGGGUAGGUAGGUGGUCUUAUUUGUCUGGGGUGAAAGCCUUGAGCUUAACUCAAGAAGUGCCUCAGAAACGGUAAGACUGGAGUCCUGGAGAGGGUCGUGGAAUUCCCGGUGUAGCGGUGAAAUGCGUAGAGAUCGGGAGGAACACCAGAGGCGAAAGCGGCGACCUGGACAGGCACUGACACUCAACUACGAAAGCGUGGGGAGCAAACAGG
rnacentral:rRNA from 1 species